rnacentral:rRNA from 1 species
AUGCCAUUGUCUACGUGCAUGCAUCGUUUCCUCAGUGGCAGUAACUCUUCUCGUCUUCCUUUCCUUGGCACUUUGCAGACCAUGUUCAGCGCGGGGACAGAGACAACGGCGACGGCGGCGGAGUGGGCGAUGUCGCUGCUGCUCAACCAUCCGAACGCCCUGGCGAAAGUGCAGGCCGAGAUGGACGCAACCGUCAGAACCACCCGACUGCUCUGCGCCGACGACCUGCCGCACCUCGACUACCUCCACUGCAUCAUCAGCGAGACCCUCCGGUUGUACCUGCCCGUCCCGGCGAUGAUCCCUCACGAGUCCUCCUCGGACUGCACGGUGGCAGGCUACGACGUCCCGAGCGGCACGACGCUGCUCGUGAACGCGUACGCCAUCCACAGGGACCCAGCGGCGUGGGAGCACCCAUUGGAGUUCAGGCCGGAGCGGUUCGAGGAGGGGAACGCCGAGGGUCUGUUCAUGAUGCCGUUCGGGAUGGGGCGGCGCAAGUGCCCCGGCGAGGCCCUCGCGCUGCGGAUGCUGGGCCUGGUGAUGAAGCCAUGUUCCUAG